UGGGGAAUAUUGCGCAAUGGGGGAAACCCUGACGCAGCGACGCCGCGUGAGCGAUGAAGGCUUUAGGGUCGUAAAGCUCUUUUGUAAGGGAAGAAUGUCGCGGGUGAUAAUACCGCCUGCGAAUGACGGUACCUUACGAAUAAGCCCCGGCUAACUACGUGCCAGCAGCCGCGGUAAGACGUAGGGGGCGAGCGUUGUCCGGAAUUACUGGGCGUAAAGAGCGCGUAGGCGGAUAUUUAAGUCAGGUGUGAAAGACCGCAGCUCAACUGCGGGGUUGCACCUGAAACUGGGUAUCUUGAGGGCAGGAGAGGACAGUGGAAUUCCAGGUGUAGCGGUGAAAUGCGUAGAAAUCUGGAGGAACACCAGUGGCGAAGGCGACUGUCUGGACUGACCCUGACGCUGAGGUGCGAAAGCGUGGGUAGCAAACAGG
rnacentral:rRNA from 2 species